GCUUACGGCCACACCGGCCUGAGUACGCCGAUCUCUUCCGAUCUCGGAAGCUAAGCCGGGUCGGGCCUGUUAGUACUUGGAUGGGAGACGCCUGGGAAUACCAGGUGCUGUAAGCU
rnacentral:rRNA from 1 species